ensembl:processed_transcript 2210408F21Rik RIKEN cDNA 2210408F21 gene
UGGAAGUCACAGCAUCUACUGAAUCUGUGCUUGCCUUGAGGAAAAACGGCAUGGCACAGGAAUGUGGACGCUUUCAACCAGAGGAUUCUGUACGACAGUGUCGGCACACACUCAUCCUCGUCUACGGCCAAAUGUUGGUUUCUCAUUUCUAGAAGAUGAAAGAUGUGAUGACUCAGGAAAAACUGGAAUCUUAGUAACUGUGGUGGGCACUGAGCCUUGCUGUCCACAAGAGAAAGCUUGCUGCUCGAGAUGUGAGUCUUCAGAUGUUCCUGCCGCCAUAUCUGACAGCUGCUGCCAAGAUUCCCUGGUGGGAUGGACUCUUAUACCUCGACAACCAGAAGCCCAAGUAAACUCUUCUAUAAAUUGAAUGACUCAUGCUUAAAAAAAAAACAAAAAACUAUCUUU